AACGAACGCUGGCGGCAUGCCUAACACAUGCAAGUCGAACGAGACCUUCGGGUCUAGUGGCGCACGGGUGCGUAACGCGUGGGAAUCUGCCCUUGGGUACGGAACAACAGUUAGAAAUGACUGCUAAUACCGUAUGAUGUCUUCGGACCAAAGAUUUAUCGCCCAGGGAUGAGCCCGCGUAGGAUUAGCUAGUUGGUGAGGUAAAGGCUCACCAAGGCGACGAUCCUUAGCUGGUCUGAGAGGAUGAUCAGCCACACUGGGACUGAGACACGGCCCAGACUCCUACGGGAGGCAGCAGUGGGGAAUAUUGGACAAUGGGCGAAAGCCUGAUCCAGCAAUGCCGCGUGAGUGAUGAAGGCCCUAGGGUUGUAAAGCUCUUUUACCCGGGAAGAUAAUGACUGUACCGGGAGAAUAAGCCCCGGCUAACUCCGUGCCAGCAGCCGCAGUAAGAC
rnacentral:rRNA from 1 species